rnacentral:rRNA from 1 species
CCUACGGGUGGCAGCAGUGAGGAAUAUUGGUCAAUGGGCUUACGCCUGAACCCGCCAAGUCGCGUGAGGGAAGACUGCCCUAUGGGUCGUAAACCUCUUUUGUCAGGGAGCAACGCCGGCUACGUGUAGCCGGACUGAGAGUACCUGAAGAAAAAGCAUCGGCUAACUCCGUGCCAGCAGCCGCGGUAAUACGGAGGAUGCGAGCGUUAUCCGGAUUUACUGGGUGUAAAGGGAGCGCAGGCGGCCUGCCAAGUCUGGUGUGAAAACCCGGGGCCCAACCCCGGGCCUGCAUUGGAGACUGGCGGGCUGGAGUGUCGGAGGGGCAGGCGGAAUUCCUAGUGUAGCGGUGAAAUGCGUAGAGAGUAGGAGGAACACCGGUGGCGAAGGCGGCCUGCUGGACGAUGACUGACGCUGAGGCUCGAAAGCGUGGGGAGCAAACAGGAUUAGAUACCCUUGUAGUC